rnacentral:rRNA from 1 species
UACGGAGGGUGCAAGCGUUAUCCGGAUUCACUGGGUUUAAAGGGUGCGUAGGUGGGCAAGUAAGUCAGUGGUGAAAUCUCCGGGCUUAACCCGGAAACUGCCAUUGAUACUAUUUGUCUUGAAUACUGUGGAGGUCAGCGGAAUAUGUCAUGUAGCGGUGAAAUGCUUAGAUAUGACAUAGAACACCAAUUGCGAAGGCAGCUGGCUACACAAAUAUUGACACUGAGGCACGAAAGCGUGGGGAGCAAACAG